UUAUUCAUACCUAAAAUUGCCAGGGUAGUAAAGAGAAUCCUUCAAACCCAAAAGAUUUGGCGGCACUUUCUUCUCUUCAGAGGGACCUGCCCCUUUAUCGACAUCCACGCUAAAUCUUACCUUUUCUUAUAAGUUUGUAUACCGCCGUUGCCAGAUAAUUUUUACAAAACAUUAUCAACCCUAAAGAUUUUAAAGACUUCAGGUCAAGGGGCCCCCUUUUAAAAUGGGGGUGGGGGGUUACAAANAAUAAUUUUAUAGUUGCGGAUGACUUUUUNGCAAAAAAAGUUUGAAGGGGGGAUUUGAAAAGAAAAUUUCCUAAAAUAAAAGAAAUUGGAAAAAAGCUCUGAAAGGGGUGCACAUCGCCCGUCGCUCUCCCUAAUAAAAC
rnacentral:rRNA from 1 species